UCAGCAUCUGCUUCACGAGAUACACGAACAUGUAAAAAGCCUGCUGUCCUAGGUCCUCUAUACGCACGUCAUAUAUCGUUAGCGUAAAGUGUUUCUAUAUCAUAGAGCCACUUUUCGGGUCGGCACGAUGUCCUUGCAGACUUUUCCCAGGGGCUACAGUGAAUGGAGCGUCGGCAUGUGCUAUUCCAUGCAACGUCGAACAAUAUAAAUAAACCGAUUCUAUCGUUGAAGAACCUGUCGACCUCGGGAGAGAUCCGAUCGAUUCAUGUCGAUGUGUAUACAUCGUCGCCAACGGUGUAGUUGAGAUGGGUGAUGAUCGUCACGCACACAUCUCUCAAACUGAAGGCCGUGUGUUAGGCCGAAUAACAAAUAACAAUCUCCUAUAGUCGUCAGAAAGCGUCGAUGGUUUAGGUCGAAAAGUGCGGCCUCUGAUGAUUGUGUUACGCCCGAUAGCUUCUAUGAGCCUCUCUGGAUACUGGAUGCCGGCCCUCGGUGAUCUAAUUUACGCGCGUCGCAAGUACAGAACCAACAUGGCAGCUAAUGGCCAACUAUAUAUUUAGGUAGCUUUAUUCGGUGUCGACCUUGCUUCUUUUUACAUUGUUUCCCUAGACGGGGAAUGUCGACGACCGAUGAUCGAGUUAUCCUAACAGCGACCGGAGACCAGUGCUAUUUCUCGUUUCGAAUUGAACGCGGACAAAGACACCAAUAUAACGCAUAGAUAGUUGUAUUACAAGCCACUCCAGUUUCUCCCACCUCUAUAGCUAACUACUUUUAAUAAAAGUCAAUUCUAUUUAUAUAAUUUAACUUUUUACCAGAUCACUGUGACUGAAGAUGCCAUUGGAUUUAGCAACGGAAUACUGGUUAUGGUAAGAAGUGCUUCGGCGGGUAGCCAGGCGAGACCGACUGCGACAAUUGUUACGGUGGUGCUCGCUGCAUUUCAACACUCUAGUGAAAAAGGACAAUAAACAACGUUAAUAGCACGUAUAUUUCUAGCGGCAAGUGCAUCAGUAUUCCAGAUUAACUUUAAGUUUGCGGAACUAUGCUUUGAACCGUUUGCGUCUCUAGAAAAGAAUCCUUAGAUUUGAAGUAAUAAAUGACGACGGACAUUGAAAGGUGCUGCGUCCUAAUUGAGUUCUACUUUCGAUCCUUCAUAUCUUCAACAUUCUUCUUUCUCGACGUGUUGCAAACUUAUGUAAAGUGA